GAAACAUUACCAAGACAGAGAAGGAGCCUUGAUUACUCCAGAACCUCAUGUCUCAUGCACUUCAAAGCUGAUUUUUUAUUUUAUAGAAGAUUUGGGAGCCUGGAGUCUGUGGUUACUCAGAUUGCCAGCUAUGUAAAAGCUGUGAAUACCAUUUAUGAAAAAGCUGAUUUUGGAGGCAUCAAAUACAUAGACUUCAAAAUAAAAACCUUGCAUGUUACUCUUUCCUUCUGCUGCCCAUUACCUAUUUAGUGAUCUUCAUGCCAUCCCCGUCCUCAUCCUUGGUGGCUCCGGUUUUCCUGUUGAUAAUCUGAGCACUUGGUUCCAUCCCCCGCCCCCACUGCGGGCCGAGGCUGAGGCCCCGCUGUGGUCCCACACGAUGCUCUUUUCCUAGCCAGCUGUGUCACAAAAUUGUACUGCUGAUGACAAACAAGCCGGGAAGAACUGUUAGCCGAUCAGCACGCAUUUAUUAAGUGACCGCUGUGCUGAAGCACCAUACCACCUGCUGGACACACAGAGAAAAGCAGAAACAUGCCCUUGCUCUCAGGGAGCUCACAUGGCAGUGGGGGAGGCAAAAUUCAAACAACUGUGUAUACAACACACACACAC